AACGAACGCUGGCGGCAGGCCUAACACAUGCAAGUCGAACGCCCUAGCAAUAGGGAGUGGCAGACGGGUGAGUAACGCGUGGGAACCUUCCCUGUGGUGCGGAAUAACUCGCCGAAAGGCGUGCUAAUACCGCAUAAGCCCGCAAGGGGAAAGAUUUAUCGCCAUAGGAUGGGCCCGCGUAGGAUUAGCUAGUUGGUGAGGUAAUGGCUCACCAAGGCGACGAUCCUUAGCUGGUUUGAGAGAAUGACCAGCCACACUGGGACUGAGACACGGCCCAGACUCCUACGGGAGGCAGCAGUGGGGAAGUCUUGGACAAUGGGCGGCAAGCCUGAUCCAGCCAUGCCGCGUGAGUGACG
rnacentral:rRNA from 1 species